rfam:Thermincola sp. JR, complete genome.
AGGAGCCGUAUACGAGGCCCGUACGUACGGUUCUGUGAGAAGGAUAAAGCCGAAGCAAAUUACUUCGGCUUUACCUUACUCGAU